GGGAGCUUGCUCCCGUUAGUUAGCGGCGGACGGGUGAGUAACACGUGGGCAACCUACCUGUAAGACUGGGAUAACUUCGGGAAACCGGAGCUAAUACCGGAUGACAUAAAGGAACUCCUGUUCCUUUAUUGAAAGAUGGCUUCGGCUAUCACUUACAGAUGGGCCCGCGGCGCAAUAGCUAGUUGGUGAGGUAACGGCUCACCAAGGCGACGAUGCGUAGCCCACCUGAGAGGGUGAUCGGCCACACUGGGACUGAGACACGGCCCAGACUCCUACGGGAGGCAGCAGUAGGGAAUCUUCCGCAAUGGACGAAAGUCUGACGGAGCAACGCCGCGUGAGCGAUGAAGGCCUUCGGGUCGUAAAGCUCUGUUGUUAGGGAAGAAUAAGUGCUAGUUAAAUAAGCUGGCACCUUGACGGUACCUAACCAGAAAGCCACGGCUAACUACGUGCCAGCAGCCGCGGUAAUACGUAGGUGGCAAGCGUUGUCCGGAAUUAUUGGGCGUAAAGCGCGCGCAGGCGGUUUCUUAAGUCUGAUGUGAAAGCCCCCGGCUCAACCGGGGAGGGUCAUUGGAAACUGGGAAACUUGAGUGCAGAAGA
rnacentral:rRNA from 1 species